AGUAACAGUUAGAAAUGACUGCUAAUACCGGAUGACGACGUAAGUCCAAAGAUUUAUCGCCGAGGGAUGAGCCCGCGUAGGAUUAGCUAGUUGGUGUGGUAAAGGCGCACCAAGGCGACGAUCCUUAGCUGGUCUGAGAGGAUGAUCAGCCACACUGGGACUGAGACACGGCCCAGACUCCUACGGGAGGCAGCAGUGGGGAAUAUUGGACAAUGGGCGCAAGCCUGAUCCAGCAAUGCCGCGUGAGUGAUGAAGGCCUUAGGGUUGUAAAGCUCUUUUACCCGUGAUGAUAAUGACAGUAGCGGGAGAAUAAGCCCCGGCUAACCCCGUG
rnacentral:rRNA from 1 species